GUCGGCGGGGUCCCCGGGACCAUGAGGCAGGCGGUGGAGGCUCAGGUGUUGAGCUCGCACUGUGAGCUAGGAGAACACGGCCUGCGUCAGAUCCUGACCGACGUGAUCGCGGAGGUGAGGAAGACGGUAAACCCGGACCUCGACGGCGCUGAGAUUCUCCACGGGCUCCUGAACGCCCCCUGGCUGCAAUCGCUGCUCAAGGUUUACGAGGGUCUUCAGAGGUACCUCCGAGAUUCCCCAGCCCCAGCUCUGGACUACGCUUCAGGACUUUCACUUCAGGUUACACCUCAGAUUGGGUUUCAUCAGCAAUUUGUUGCUCGCAGUUAUUUUGUAGAAGGCUUUUUAAAAAAACAUAAUGGAUAUGUGGUUUGUUGUGUAGUUGCUGAUCGACAUCAGAGCGCUGCCGGGAUGCUCUGAAGACGCCAAAGAGCUUUACCGCCUCCUGAGACAGCCGCACCUGCAGGUAACAAGUCACCAUUCAUUUCUGGGAUCACUGCGGUGCCUCUAGA
rnacentral:lncRNA from 1 species